UUGACCUCGGAUCAGGUAGGGAUACCCGCUGAACUUAAGCAUAUCAAUAAGCGGAGGAAAAGAAACCAACCGGGAUUACCUCAGUAACGGCGAGUGAAGCGGUACUAGCUCAAAUUUGAAAUCUGGCGCCCUCGGCGUCCGAAUUGUAAUUUGUAGACGAUGCUUUGGGUUGGGGCCCGGCCUAAGUUCCUUGGAACAGGACGUCAUAGAGGGUGAGAAUCCCGUAUGUGGCAGGUGCCCCCCGCCCGUGUAAAGCUCGUUCGACGAGUCGAGUUGUUUGGGAAUGCAGCUCAAAAUGGGAGGUAAAUUUCUUCUAAAGCUAAAUACUGGCCAGAGACCGAUAGCGCACAAGUAGAGUGAUCGAAAGAUGAAAAGCACUUUGGAAAGAGAGUUAAACAGUACGUGAAAUUGUUGAAAGGGAAGCGCUUGCAAUCAGACUUGGGGGCCGUGGAUCAUCCAGGCUUCGGGCCUGGUGCACUCGGCGGCCCACAGGCCAGCAUCGGUUCGGGUGGUUGGAGAAAGGCCCUAGGAACGUAGCUCCUCUCGGGGAGUGUUAUAGCCUAGGGCGCCAUGCAGCCUACCUGGACCGAGGACCGCGCUUCGGCUAGGAUGCUGGCGUAAUGAUUGUAAGCGACCCGUCUUGAAACACGGACCAAGGAGUCUAACAUCUAUGCGAGUGUUUGGGUGGUAAACCCAUGCGCGAAAUGAAAGUGAACGGAGGUGAGAACCCUGAAGGGUGCAUCAUCGACCGAUCCUGAUGUCU
rnacentral:rRNA from 1 species